CCUACGGGCGGCAGCAGUGAGGAAUAUUGGUCAAUGGCCGGAAGGCUGAACCAGCCAAGCCGCGUGAAGGACGAAGGUGCCAAGCAUUGUAAACUUCUUUUGUCAAGGGACAAACUCAGGCUCGAGAGCCUGACCGAGGGUACUUGAAGAAAAAGCAUCGGCUAACUCCGUGCCAGCAGCCGCGGUAAUACGGAGGAUGCGAGCGUUAUCCGGAUUUAUUGGGUUUAAAGGGUGCGUAGGCGGGCUGAUAAGUUAGAGGUAAAAGGGCGGGGCUUAACCCCGGCCGAGCGUUUAAUACGGGUUAUCUAGAGAGUAGGUGAGGUAGGCGGAAUGUGUGGGGUAGGGGUGAAAUGAUUAGAGA
rnacentral:rRNA from 1 species